CGACGGGUGAGUAACGCGUAUGCAACUUACCUAUCAGGAGGGGAUAACCCGGCGAAGUCGGACUAAUACCGCAUGAAGCAGGGGCCCCGCAUGGGGAUAUUUGCUAAAGAUUCAUCGCUGAUAGAUAGGCAUGCGCUCCAUUAGGCAGUUGGCGGGGUAACGGCCCACCAAACCGACGAUGGAUAGGGGUUCUGAGAGGAAGGUCCCCCACAUUGGUACUGAGACACGGACCAA
rnacentral:rRNA from 1 species